UAUUAUACUAAAAUAAUAGAAAAAGCUGGAAUAUUAAAAGAUAAAGACUUUAAAUUCAAAGAAUUUGGCGGUAAUUUAGUCUUUUCAGAGGAACCUGUUUUUAUAAUCGAUAAACCACGAAGAAUCUUACUUACUUUUGUAAAUUUAUGAGUUUGUAUACCGUCAUUAUCAGAUAAUAUUUAAAGGUAAGAUUAUUGGGCCUUAAAUAGCAAGGGAAAUUAGAUCAAGGUGCAGCUAAUAAGUAAGUUAAAAUGGGUUACAAUAAAUUAAAUUUAAUAAUGAAAAAGAUUUGAAAUAGUCUUAUGAAGGAGGAUUUGAUUGUAAUGGGAAUUAGUAUGGUAAAAAGAUAUAAGCUCUAAAUUAU
rnacentral:rRNA from 1 species